CGCUGGGCGGCGUGCUUACCAUGCAAGUCGAACGAUGAAGCCUUUCGGGGUGGAUUAGUGGCGAACGGGUGAGUAACACGUGGGCAAUCUGCCCUUCACUCUGGGACAAGCCCUGGAAACGGGGUCUAAUACCGGAUAACACUCUGUCCCGCAUGGGACGGGGUUAAAAGCUCCGGCGGUGAAGGAUGAGCCCGCGGCCUAUCAGCUUGUUGGUGGGGUAAUGGCCUACCAAGGCGACGACGGGUAGCCGGCCUGAGAGGGCGACCGGCCACACUGGGACUGAGACACGGCCCAGACUCCUACGGGAGGCAGCAGUGGGGAAUAUUGCACAAUGGGCGAAAGCCUGAUGCAGCGACGCCGCGUGAGGGAUGACGGCCUUCGGGUUGUAAACCUCUUUCAGCAGGGAAGAAGCGAAAGUGACGGUACCUGCAGAAGAAGCGCCGGCUAACUACGUGCCAGCAGCCGCGGUAAUACGUAGGGCGCAAGCGUUGUCCGGAAUUAUUGGGCGUAAAGAGCUCGUAGGCGGCUUGUCACGUCGGAUGUGAAAGCCCGGGGCUUAACCCCGGGUCUGCAUUCGAUACGGGCUAGCUAGAGUGUGGUAGGGGAGAUCGGAAUUCCUGGUGUAGCGGUGAAAUGCGCAGAUAUCAGGAGGAACACCGGUGGCGAAGGCGGAUCUCUGGGCCAUUACUGACGCUGAGGAGCGAAAGCGUGGGGAGCGAACAGGAUUAGAUACCCUGGUAGUCCACGCCGUAAACGUUGGGAACUAGGGUGUUGGCGACAUUCCACGUCGUCGGUGCCGCAGCUAACGCAUUAAGUUCCCCGCCUGGGGGAGUACGGCCGGCAAGGCUAAAACUCAAAGGAUUUGACGGGGGCCCGCACAAGCAGCGGAGCAUGUGGCUUAAUUCGACGCAACGCGAAGAACCUUACCAAGGCUUGACAUAUACCGGAAAGCAUCAGAGAUGGUGCCCCCCUUGUGGUCGGUAUACAGUGGGUGCAGGGCUGUGUCAGCUCGUGUCGUGAGAUGUUGGGUUAAGUCCCCGAACGAGGCGCAACCCUUGUUCUUGUGUUGCCAGCAUGCCCUUCCGGGUGGAUGGGGACUCCACGGGAACUGUGCCGGGA
rnacentral:rRNA from 2 species